rnacentral:rRNA from 1 species
GAUGAACGCUGGCGGCGUGCCUAAUACAUGCAAGUCGAGCGAACAGACGAGGAGCUUGCUCCUCUGACGUUAGCGGCGGACGGGUGAGUAACACGUGGAUAACCUACCUAUAAGACUGGGAUAACUUCGGGAAACCGGAGCUAAUACCGGAUAAUAUAUUGAACCGCAUGGUUCAAGAGUGAAAGACGGUUUUGCUGUCACUUAUAGAUGGAUCCGCGCCGCAUUAGCUAGUUGGUAAGGUAACGGCUUACCAAGGCAACGAUGCGUAGCCGACCUGAGAGGGUGAUCGGCCACACUGGAACUGAGACACGGUCCAGACUCCUACGGGAGGCAGCAGUAGGGAAUCUUCCGCAAAGGGCGAAAGCCUGACGGAGCAACGCCGCGUGAGUGAUGAAGGUCUUCGGAUCGUAAAACUCUGUUAUUAGGGAAGAACAAAUGUGUAAGUAACUAUGCACGUCUUGACGGUACCUAAUCAGAAAGCCACGGCUAACUACGUG